rnacentral:rRNA from 1 species
GACGAACGCUGGCGGCGUGCUUAACACAUGCAAGUGGAGCGACGAACCAGGGCUUGCCCCGGGGCAAAGCCGCGAACGGGUGAGUAACACGUGGGUAACCUGCCCCGAUGACCGGGACAACCCGAGGAAACUCGGGCUAAUACCGGAUGUGGAACUCUCACAUCAGUGAGUUUUCUAAAGGUAGCUUCGGCUUCCGCAUUGGGAUGGGCCCGCGGCCCAUUAGCUUGUUGGUGAGGUAAUGGCUUACCAAGGCUCCGAUGGGUAGCUGGUCUGAGAGGACGAUCAGCCACACUGGGACUGAGACACGGCCCAGACUCCUACGGGAGGCAGCAGUGGGGAAUCUUGCGCAAUGCGCGAAAGCGUGACGCAGCAACGCCGCGUGGGGGAAGAAGGCCUUCGGGUUGUAAACCCCUUUCAGGAGGGACGAAGGUCACACGGUUAAUAGCCGGCGUGACUGACGGUACCUCCAGAAGAAGCCCCGGCUAACUACGUGCCAGCCGCCGCAGUAACAC